rnacentral:rRNA from 1 species
CCUAACACAUGCAAGUCGAGCGAAGCAUUUAGAGUUAGCUUGCUAAUCUUUAUGACUGAGCGGCGAACGGGUGAGUAACACGUGGGUAAUCUACCUGAAAGUCUGGGAUAACAGUUCGAAAGGGCUACUAAUACCGGAUGACAUUGAUGAUGUAGAGUCAUCAAUCAAAGCGUUACGGAGCGCUUUCAGAUGAGCCCGCGUCCCAUUAGCUAGUUGGUAAGGUAAAGGCUUACCAAGGCAACGAUGGGUAGCCGGUCUGAGAGGAUGGUCGGCCACACUGGAACUGAGACACGGUCCAGACUCCUACGGGAGGCAGCAGUGGGGAAUAUUGCACAAUGGGCGCAAGCCUGAUGCAGCAACGCCGCGUGAGCGAUGAAGGCCUUCGGGUCGUAAAGCUCUGUCCUAAGGGAAGAUAUAGACGGUACCUUAGGAGGAAGCCCCGGCUAACUACGUGCCAGCAGCCGCGGUAAUACGUAGGGGGCAAGCGUUAUCCGGAAUUACUGGGCGUAAAGGGUGC